rnacentral:rRNA from 1 species
GGCCGCGGGAAUUCGAUUGGAUCGCCCUUAGAGUUUGAUCAUGGCUCAGAACGAACGCUGGCGGCGCGUUUUAAGCAUGCAAGUCGAGCGGCAAGGGCCUUCGGGCCCCUAGAGCGGCGGACGGGUGAGUAACACGUGGACAAUCUGCCCCCCGGCCCGGGAUAGCCCAGGGAAACCUGGAUUAAUACCGGAUGAGACGGGACCCGCGAAGGCGGGACCCGGGAAAGGCGCUGCGGCGCCGCCGGGGGAUGAGUCUGUGUCCCAUUAGCUAGACGGCGGGGUAACGGCCCACCGUGGCGACGAUGGGUAGCCGGCCUGAGAGGGUGGACGGCCACAUUGGAACUGAGACACGGUCCAGACUCCUACGGGAGGCAGCAGCUAAGAAUCUUCCGCAAUGGGCGAAAGCCUGACGGAGCGACGCCGCGUGAACGAAGAAGGCCGUGAGGUUGUAAAGUUCUUUUCGGGAGGGGGAACAACCGUGGCAGGGAAUGGCCGCGGGAUGACGUGAAUCCCGGAAUAAGCCCCGGCUAACUACGUGCCAGCAGCCGCGGUAACACGUAGGGGGCGAGCGUUGUUCGGAAUCAUUGGGCGUAAAGGGCGUGCAGGCGGUCCUGCAAGUCCGGCGUGAAAGACCCCGGCCCAACCGGGGGGACGCGCUGGAAACUGCAUGGCUUGAGUACAGGAGGG